UACGUAGGUGGCAAGCGUUGUCCGGAAUUAUUGGACGUAAAGCGCGCGCAGGCGGUCUCCUAAGUCCGAUGUGAAAGCCCACGGCUCAACCGUGGAGGGUCAUUGGAAACUGGGGGACUUGAGUGCAGGAGAGAAGAGUGGAAUUCCACGUGUAGCGGUGAAAUGCGUAGAGAUGUGGAGGAACACCAGUGGCGAAGGCGACUCUUUGGCCUGUAACUGACGCUGAGGCGCGAAAGCGUGGGGAGCAAACAGG
rnacentral:rRNA from 1 species